rnacentral:rRNA from 1 species
GACGAACGCUGGCGGCGUGCUUAACACAUGCAAGUCGAACGGAAAGGCCCCUUUGGGGGUACUCGAGUGGCGAACGGGUGAGUAACACGUGAGUAACCUGCCCUUGACUUCGGGAUAACUUCAGGAAACUGGGGCUAAUACCGGAUAGGAAUCCUUGCUGCAUGGUGGGGGUUGGAAAGCUUCGGCGGUUUUGGAUGGACUCGCGGCUUAUCAGCUUGUUGGUGGGGUAGUGGCUUACCAAGGCUUUGACGGGUAGCCGGCCUGAGAGGGCGACCGGCCACAUUGGGACUGAGAUACGGCCCAGACUCCUACGGGAGGCAGCAGUGGGGAAUAUUGCACAAUGGGCGGAGACCUGAUGCAGCAACGCCGCGUGCGGGAUGACGGCCUUCGGGUUGUAAACCGCUUUCAGCAGGGGCGAAGCUUGUGGUGACGGUACCUGCAGAAGAAGCACCGGCUAACUACGUG